rnacentral:lncRNA from 1 species
CUGAAGGAGAGCCAAGUGGUGACUCAGUUUCCCUUUAAAGAAGGAGCUCUGGGUGGGACUGGGAUAUUUCAGACAGUCCAAAUCUCCAAGGGGUCAGUUCUUGAAAGACAAUCUGGGGAGAUGGUUCUUGUAAUUCUCAUUUGGAGCAGCUUAGAACAUUUGACUGACAGGCCGAGUUGCAUAGGAGAGGGGCCCACUUGGGCACAGAGUGUUUCACGACCUACUCAAGAGUCUAGAUCAGACGCAUCAGGAGCUUCAGAGAACCCCCCAAGAACUGGCAAGAGAUCAUUGAUGACUUUGUCUCACGCUAUGCUGGUCCUAAUGUGGAGCAACACAGUUCUACCAGCAGGUCCUUCUACUCUCCUUCAUGCUGGACUGCAUGGACCUGUUUCAUCACUCUGGAU